CUCUGCCUCAGAGGUCUUCUCAAGCCACUACUGUUCCCAAGGAUGCCUAAUUGCAAUGCCAGCUUCUGGGGUGAACAUGGACCCACUGUCAUCGGGCAAGGUCUAGGAUGGACAUGGAGACCCACCAUCUGGGAGAUUCCAGAGUGGACGUGAACCCACCCACCAUCAUCAGGCAGCUUCCUGGAGUAUUCAGAAGCUGGCGGGUGUCAUCUGGAGGAUGUGACUGGGUACCAGUGCUAGAGCACGUGCCCACUGAGCAGUCUUCUUCACUUUCCUCAAUUCUCAUGAAACAUUCUGGGAUCUUUACCUCAAAGGACUCCAGAGGUUACAUCAUUGUCUUCGAACUGGUCAGUGGCUGGAGCUCUCUCCAGGACAAGUGCUUAGAGGAAGAACCUGGACAAGCUUCCCUCCCCAUACUGUUGACUGGAUCUUGUAUCUACCGUUAGCCACCAUCAUCGCCACUGUGUGACUCUUAGGAGCAUUUCCAGGAGGUGAUGCCAGCUGGGCAAAGAGCCUCUGUCCCACAGCCGUCGGUGCCCGCUGCAGCCUGCGCCCAGGAUGUCACAGCCUCAGCUCAACACCUCUGCUGGACAGCUUCAGGUGGUGAUUCCAGCUCCAGGGUUGCUGCGGUCAACACUGGGUACUUGAGAAGAGGUUGUCUGUGAUGAGUUCGCUUUAUUAAUGACGAAUAUAACACAGAUGGCCUGUUUUCAAUACCACCUGCCACUCUGGUCACUCGGCAGUACAUACCAGGUGUCACACCACUGCCCGGCAGGUGACAACGCUGAAUUGGUCCUCAGGAGCAGAUGUUCAAGGAACCCUGCCUAUGCUCCAUGCCAGCUGCCAGUCCUAGGUUGGAACAUUCCACUGGGGACAUCCAUGGGAGAGCUAACAAGUCCUGAGCCCUGACCUGAAGCCAUCAGUGGCCUAGCUGCUCUACCUGACUUUGUGGCCUCUCUUCCUGGAUCUCUUGCUUACGACAACCGACAACAAAGAUGUUUGACUCCAGAAGAUGCUCCCCGCGGCCCACCUGAGAGGACUGUCCACACCCCACCCCACUGCGCCCUGUGCCAUCUACCUCUGAGUCCCCAACUCGUAGCCCCUGCUUCUCACCCAUGUUUCAACUCCCACCCCAGAGCCUUUUAUUCCAGAUCUGAGCAGCCCUUGCUUAGGAACCUGAGGUGGGGGUGGGUAGGCAGACCCAGGGGACUGAGCAGGGAGGGGAAGGAGGGGUUUCUGCUCUUGGCUUUCAAAGUUCUCAGUGUGUGUGGCCCUUUGAAUAAUAAACAUAUGUCAUAUAAUGUAAA
rnacentral:lncRNA from 1 species